UACGGGGGGGGGUAAGCGUUGUUCGGAAUUACUGGGCGUAAAGGGCUCGUAGGCGGCCAACUAAGUCAUACGUGAAAUCCCUCAGCUUAACUGGGGAACUGCGUGUGAUACUGGAUGGCUUGGAUUUGGGAGAGGGAUGCGGAAUUCCUGGUGUAGCGGUGAAAUGCGCAGAUAUCAGGAGGAACACCUGCGGUGUAGACGGCUUACUGGACCAUCACUGACGCUGAGGCACGAAAGCGUGGGUAGCAAACAGG
rnacentral:rRNA from 1 species